CAUUCUCGACAAGAGAUGCAUCAAGUGGAUUGUUUUUUCUUGCUAACAGCAAUUAUCUACAUUAAAUCAAAAGUCUUUUCAAUAACAUAUUGGGGAAACGUGUUGUUCAGUACAAACUGUUACGCAACGUAGUAAAUGUUCAAGCGAACUGAACACAACUCUGCUGUGAGAGUGGGCGAGGCUGACCUGAUUGUUAUGACCCUCUAUCCCCAAAACCACUUCCUGGACUUACUUUUGUUGAAACUUGAGACCACACAUUUGUGUCUCUCACCGACUGUUUUUGACAUGUUUAUGACUUUACCAAACGCUCGAGGCUUUAGUUCAGUCAGCGCCGACUCCAGAAAUUGUAACGAAACAUGUUCGUUAUUCAGGCUUGACUUUACUUGUUUAUGCUAGAGCGGUGGAGGGAACCGUAUGUGGACCUGAGCCCUAGGACCAUGCCCCAGGACUACCUGACAUGAUGACUCCUUGCUGUCCCCAGUCCACCUGGCCAUGCUGCUGUUCCAGUUUCAACUGACCUGAGCCCUAGGACCAUGCCCCAGGACUACCUGACAUGAUGACUCCUUGCUGUCCCCAGUCUACCUGGCCAUGCUGCUGCUCCAGUUUCAACUUCCACCUGACUGUGCUGCUGCUCUAGUUUCAACUGUUCUGCCUUAUUAUUAUUCGACCAUGCUGGUCAUUUAUGAACAUUGAACAUCUUGACCAUGUUCUGUUAUAAUCUCCACCCGGCACAGCCAGAAGAGGACUGGCCACCCCACAUAGCCUGGUUCCUCUCUAGGUUUCUUCCUAGGUAUUGGCCUUUCUAGGGAGUUUUUCCUAGCCACCGUGCUUCUCCACCUGCAUUGCUUGCUGUUUGGGGUUUUAGGCUGGGUUUCUGUACAGCACUUUGAGAUAUCAGCUGAUGUACGAAGGGCUAUAUAAAUAAAUUUGAUUUGAUUUGAUUUGACUAAGAGCGCCGCCUCUGGGUGAGCAUUUUCUUGUUUGCUUAUGGCGGAAUACAGCUCUUUCAGUGCUAUCUUAGUGCCAACCUCUGACUGAGGUGGUAUGUAAACAGCUACGAAGAAUACAGAUGAGAACUCUCUCGGUAGGUAGUGUGGUCUACAGCUUAUCAUGAUAUACUCAACCUCAGGCGAGCAAUAGCUCGAGACUUCCUUAGAUAUAGUGCACCUGCUGUUAUUUACAAAAAUACAUAGUCCACCACCCCUUGUCUUACCAGACGCCACUGUUCUGUCCUGCCGGUACAUCGUAUAACCAGCCAGAUAAUCAAACAAAAAAACACAACUGGUUGGGGGCACGUAAAACAUCUGACUUCUGCUCCGCCGCCAUCCACAUAUUCCCACUGUAUCCACACCCAUCCUGCCCGUCUCAAAAUAAUAUUUUUUUUCUCCUUCCUCAUCCUUUGAAUAUCUCCAGGGCUUCUAAUAUUUUAUGCCAUAUGGCUUCAAAUUGUACUAUUUUGUUUCUCUCUGUAGCCCAAUAAUGCAUUUGAGUCAUCCACUUUAAAUGAAAGAGGGUCAUUUGAUUUCCAGUUUUUACAAAUUUUUUCAAAAUAAUGGACAAGGAAAGUACGGUCCAGCGACCCCAUUGGGUAUCUCACAGCACCCUCAUAUUCCAUGUCUGAAAUAUGCAGGUAUAUGGAUUAAAAGUACAUUUAUAUUGUAGCAUUUCUGACAGACAACUUUCUAACUCUACCCAUACCUUUUGGACUUUAUAGCACUCCCAGAAGACAUGAAUCAUUACACUUAAGACAUGACUCUGCCACUAUGCUGUAGAAUUUGUGAAUUUUGUCUCUUGUAUAAUACAUUCUGUACAUUACUUCAUACUGGAUUAAGAGUACAUUUUUGUCAACUAUAA